CCCCAGCUUUGUGCAUUUUAAAUCCCUUUGUGUAUAAGUUUUUAUUUAUUCUGUUUCCUUCCCUACCACUAUCUUUAUGGCUGUAGGGGAAACAUACUAUGCCAGUGUAAAACCAUUUGUAGUUGGUAAGAAAAUUCAGGGAACAGUUCAGGACUUGUCAGUAGUUCAAAGUAAUUUCUUAAAAUACAAUUGGAUUUCAGGCUGGUAGCGUACCUUCAAAGAAGUUGUGGCCACUUAAUCACUUAGAGCACUCUACUAGAAAGCCCCACUGUCCAGUUUAUUCCUUGAACGUAAUUAUUUUUAAGAGAUUCUCACAAUAGAGCAAAAUCAACAAGACUUUUGAUGUAGAUUCAGCAUACACUGCCAAAAAGAGCUUUCUGAUGACAUGAUUAACACCCUCACCCCCAACAGCAUAAACUACAGCAAGAAAAGCACCGUGCUGUAGCAUAGCCACGCUAUACUACAGGCUUGUUUUCAAAACAGUGUCAGUAAAGAAGCAGAUAUUCCACAGCCCAGAAAUGCCAGCAGAAGUUGGUAAUCUAGAUACAGCUCAUGUUUUAAAAUUCUUCCAAUAUCUUUGCUUUCAUACUUGGAAAAUGCAUAGCCCUGGUGACAAGCAGAAGGAAGUAGCCUAACGAGAAGGCAGACUCUUGUUGAGGGUUUUGGGGAGUAAAGGACAAGCUUGAACUAUCAAAUAAGCAGAGUAGAUUGGAAGUCCAGAUUCUUGUGUGACUGGGUACUAUUCCACUCGAUAACCAAAAGGGAUGUUACCCUCCUAAGAAAACAUGGUUGCUUACUUUGUACUCUAAUGUAAAACCAAGACCAUCUGAAAAGACUAAUAACUAUUUGUAACAAAUUUAAGCUUCCUUUAGCAAAAGGAGUAAUUGUGUUUGAAACCAUCACCCAAGCUUGUAAUUUAAAUACUGUAGCAAAAAAAAAAAUAAAAACUGUCCCAAAGAAAAUACAUGAACCUUUUUGGGUACUGUGAUUUCUAAGUGUAUAAAAAGACUGAGAAGAUUUUUUGUGAAAUUGAAGUAAAUGAGCAGUACCUCCAAUAAGAAUUUCCUGGUCAAACCCAAACCAGAAUGGAAAAUGAGGAUAAAAUGCAUAAGGUUUAGUUUGGGUUUUGGUGUAAUGUAGUUCUCCUGUGGUGGGUCGGUAUGUCUUUGCUUUAACAGCUUACCGAAAACCCAGCUUCCUCACAGAGCCUGGUUCUUCUAGACAGGUGGGCUUAAAGUACUGAAAUGUUCCUCUGCUGCAUCCCUCUGAAAACGAAUAGACAGGCGGUAAGUUUCAGAAUUCCUAGUAACUGGGUGGGUGCCAUGGAUAGUGGUCACAGGCCAGUCUGCUCUUGGAGUUCAAUCAAAUAAAAACCGCAGACAAUUCCAACUCAGCCCAAACCCGCAGCCUCUGAUUCGAACAGGAGCAUGCCAGCACUACCUUUUGCAGCAUCCCCUCCUCCCCUUGGCUCUUCCCCCAAAAGCUGUGGAAUGAGGCCAACCAGAAUUUUAGACUGCUAAAAAAGUAGUGAAAUCCUAAGAGAAAAUAAGGCCGUUUUAUACAUUUUGUUUUGGUUUUGUUAUCUUUGUGUUGUUCUCAAGUUGUUCUUCACAGUCAGAAUGAAAAGGGAGAAAAAAUGAAGAUAUUUUCAUGUAACUGCCUGGAAACUUGUGAGGCAACAUCUCACUGCACCACUAAAUUGUAACAUAAUAUCUGGCAACCCGGAGGUGUGGCCUGAGUGGUCUUUAUGUGUAGAAGUAAAUUGCUGUUGUAAACAGUUCUUCUGUAAGGACCAACAUCUGGUUUCAGGAAGACAAGCGGCUGAUCUUCCACUUCUGAGUCAUGAUCUGUCUCCUGACCAGGAGCACUGGUAGUCUUGAGGAACCUGGAUGGGCUUCCAGAACCGAUACCAUGGCUUCACUGCAUGAAUGUUUCCCUCCAGCAAUAUUGAGGCAGAAGCAUCCACUGUAAUUAGAGGGUUGAAACCUAUGUUGUGUAAUUGGUUCUGCUACACUGCACAGAAUGAAUGUCCCUUUUAAAAAGUGGAAGAAGAAAGGAAAACAGGUUAUCUGAGUGAUUACUCCCUGCCUGCCCUGCCAUCUCCUCUAGGAUGACUGAUUCUUGCUUGCUUGCUCUCACUUCGGCAGUCCUGGGAGGAGCAAUCAGUUCUCUCAAAGCUUCUCGGCAAUUUGUCCGACUUCUAACAAGUUUGGGGGAGAAACUGAAUCCAACUGACCUUGGACAAGAGGCUGCAGCUAUGAGGGUGAUGGCUAUGACUUUUUUGGUUCUGCCUAUAAUGGGAAUUUGACCUGGUUCCAUGAAUGCAUGACUACUUUCCUGGACAGCUGAGCCAGCAUAAACCUCUGGUGUAGAAAUAACAACCACCCUGCAGUCCUGACGCUAAAGAUGGAAGGCUCUCCUGAAGAGGACAGAGUGCACACAGUGUGGCCCACACGCCAGCGUCAGGAGGACAGGUAAGGGGUAAAUGGUCAAAAAGCAGAGGCAGCACAAGCGAGCGGUGCCACCCGCCAGCUUUGCAGCAGCUGGGCUCCGUCCUCGGUCGCCGGAGGCCGUGCCCCCCCAGCAUCAUGGCACAGGGGGGCCAUGCGAGCGGGAAGAGAUGUCCAGUGAUGUACUCAGUGAUGCAGACUGAUGGCUGCCGCUGAAACAGAACUGCUCCACGUAGCAAUACGAUUUGUUUCUGUUUGUGUACAUUACAAAUAGGUCACAUAACAAAAUACAGGAAAGGGUUUAAGUGCUGAGAGAGGAAAGUAAGUCCACAUGGCGUGGCUGUAAUAGCUGGUAACAGCACAAGUCUGUUCCUCAGAUCUAAGCGAUGCUUUAGCAGUUUCUCUGCUCUGGCUGAUUUUAGUGCACAACCAUGCAACCGUCAAUUUAUCUCAUUAAUGCUUGGGAGUAAAUUUCAGGUUAAUUGCAAUGUUCUCUGAACCAGACAUGCAGGUUUAGCAUCUGUUUUUAACUGGUAAUUCUGAGCAUCUAUAGCCUGUGUUCAGGUGACUUACAUGCUUAAAUCCUAAUGAGUUAUUUUUAAGCUAAAAUGUCCUAGUUUCAGUUUCAGCUUCACCUGCUGAAUCUUGUUAUUUAUUCCUCUAAAGAAGAUUGGUCACUUUUCAUAAAAAGUCAAAUUCCAGUGUGUUGUAUAAAAAAAACUCUAAAGGGCAAGAAGGACAACCAGAGCUUUUAAUACUUACCAUCAGCACGGAAGCCUUACGAGACAUCAGAAAGUGAUCAUUAGAAAUAACCUUUCUUCUGCAGGGGCAGGUAUUGGUGUUAAGUACAUAAUGAAAUGCAAGGCCACUCUGUCUCCAGGCCCAUUAAAGACUCUUUGGUGAUGCUACAUCAGCACUUUGGUUUAGUGAUGUGUCGUUUUUUAACAAGGCUGUGGCAUGCUGCCAUUAACUUGGUUUUAUGCCUCUCUUGUGUUUUCACAGCCGCAGGCCAGAUGGUUUCAGCAUUAUAUCCUUCCUGUGAUAUGGAAUCUGACCACAGUGCUCCAAAUUACCUUUCAUUCCGCAUGCUGUAUUUCUUGUUUUGUAUUGCCAUGCAUCCAGCGUUGGUCAUUUCGGCUAAAAAAGACCCUGGAAAUUUCUGCAUGUUGUAAGCAGCACGUAGAGCUGGUGACUGAGCACAGAUGUCAAGGGGGCUAUUUAUUCUCCUUGGAAGCCUCAGUUACUGCUGGAUUUGUAGGAUAGGAUAGAGCAACUGCUUUGAAAAAUUCCGUUCAAAUGCUUAGUGCGUGAUCAGAUGGUGAACUAGCCUGGAAGGUGGAGAGAUAGUGCAGUGGUUUCUACUACCACAGCCUUUGGGUGCUUCCUCUACUUCUGAGAUCUUCUGUAAAAACAAGCGAACAAUAUUGCUGCUCGGUAAUGGUAAAUGCAAAGCUCCGGUUCUUCAUUUUCUGCCUCAUUUGGGUAAAGCAACUUCCUCUGCAGCUUUCACGCAUCCUUGGCUGAUGGGGUAACAACUCUCACCCUGCUCUGAUUAUGGCUGCUGUCAUGCCCACUCCUAAAUGAAUACCUGGAUUUGAGAACUCUGGAAAUGAAGUCCAGGCAGGGCAGUGUGAGGACAGGAAUGGUGAGGGAACUACUCCUCUGCUGUAUGCAGAGGGGGGUAGGGCUGUAAAAGGUUGUUAGUGGCAUGUAUCUAGAAGACAGGGAUUUUUUUUUCUGGUGGCACAGGAAUACAUGAACAGAAGUUAAUUUGUGGUUGUGGCUAAACAAUGCAACAAAAUGUGGUCUCAUGAGCAGAGCAGAACUGAUAACAAGCCAGAGAACAGCCAUGUCAGGAAACAGUAAUGCUGAUGUCCACAGCUUGCUGUAGCGGUAGUGCCUAGACAAGAGGUUACAACCAAGACAAGGGGUCCCAUGUGCUACAGAGAGAGGUGAAAUAAACUGUGUACAGCCUCACAGCAAAUCACCAGUAGAGCUGGAGGACAGAUUUAUGACGACCACAAGAUAGCUGAGUAGUUUUGAUAGAAGUAUUCCUUUUUUCCUCCCAUCGUGGGGCAAAACAUAGGUAGAUGUGUGUGUCUGCAUGAAGGAGCUGGGGCAACACUUCAUAGCCUCUGUAGCUUAAGCUCAUUGCAUACAAAAAGGUCCCUUCCAUUCCUCAUUCCAGGAGGAAAUUAUGAAACUGGCAGGCAGAGAAGUGCCAUCAGAAUGAACAUACAUGUCUUAAA